rnacentral:rRNA from 1 species
AUACGUAGGUGGCAAGCGUUGUCCGGUUUUACUGGGUGUAAAGGGUGCGUAGGCGGGGCAGCAAGUUGGAUGUGAAAUCCUCGGGCUCCGCUCGAGACCUGCAUUCAAAACUGUUGCUCUUGAGUGCAGUAGAGGCAAGCGGAAUUCCCGGUGUAGCGGGGAAAUGCGCAGAGAUCGGGAGGAACACCAGUGGCGAAGGCGGCUUGCUGGGCUGUUACUGACGCUGAGGCACGAAAGCAUGGGUAGCAAACAGGAUUAGAUACCCUGGUAGUCCAUGCUGUAAACGAUGAUUACUAGGUGUGGGUGGACUGACCCCAUCCGUGCCGGAGUUAACACAUUAAGUAAUCCACCUGGGGAGUACGGCCGCAAGGUUGAAACUCAAAUGAAUUGGCGGGG